CCUACCUUCCAGUUGGGGACAACACUUCUAACGAGGUGCUAAUACCGAAUACCAUCUUUCCGUCGCAUGGCGGAUUGAUGAAAGGCGGCCUCUGCUUGCAUGCUGUCACUGGAUGAUGGUCUCGCGUCCCAUUAGCUUGUUGGUGGGGUAAUGGCCUACCAAGGCGAUGAUGGGUAGCCGGCCUUAGCGGGUGUCCGGCCACACUGGGACUGAGAUACGGCCCAG
rnacentral:rRNA from 1 species